rnacentral:rRNA from 1 species
GUGCCAGCAGCCGCGGUAAUACGUAGGGUGCAAGCGUUAAUCGGAAUUACUGGGCGUAAAGCGUGCGCAGGCGGCUCGAUAAGUAGGGGGUGAAAUUCCGCGGCUCAACCGCGGGGCGGCCUUCUAAACUGUCGGGCUUGAGCACGGUAGAGGCAGAUGGAAUUCCCGGUGUAGCGGUGGAAUGCGUAGAGAUCGGGAAGAACACCAGUGGCGAAGGCGAUCUGCUGGGCCGUUGCUGACGCUGAGGCGCGACAGCGUGGGGAGCAAACAGGAUUAGAUACCCUGGUAGUCCACGCCGUAA